GCACUGCUGAGGAGUCCCAUACCAGGACGAAACUGCCGUCCAGUGC
rfam:Schistosoma mattheei strain Denwood, Zambia genome assembly, scaffold: SMTD_scaffold0002913